rnacentral:lncRNA from 1 species
UACUGAGGGUGCCAAGCUUGUGAAGGCCUUCAGGAACAUUCCUGGUGUUGAGGUGGUUUCUGUUAAUCGUUUGAACCUUCUCCAGCUCGCUCCAGGUGAGACGCUAGAUUAGAUCUCUUAAGUCCUCGAAGGAUUCUAAAUGAAUGUGCACAAGAUAUGAUGUGUUACUAUGAUAUCCGAACGCAAUGCCAUGAUUAACCAUUUGAGUCAGUUGUCUUUUGUGUUGAUUCUGCUCCCUUUGUAUGUAGUGCUCAAUAUCCCGAAUCUACACGGUUCUCAAGCUCUGGCUUGUAAUAUAUCAUAAAGUAAUCGAAUAUUGGUUAUGCACUCACAGGUGGUCACCUUGGACGAUUCAUUGUCUGGACCAAGUCGGCUUUUGAGAAAUUGGACGAUAUCUUUGGCACCCAAGAGAAGAAGUCCCUCCUCAAGAAAGACUACAUCCUCCCCAGGAACAUCAUGGGUAACCCUGACUUGGGUAGGAUCAUCAAUUCUGACGAGGUCCAGAGUGUCGUCCGUCCUACCAAGGUCGACACCAAGAGGCGUGCACUGAAGAAAAAUCCUUUGAAGAAUUUGGGAGCUCUUCUGAAGCUCAACCCUUAUGCCAAGACUGCCAGGAGGAUGGAGCUUUUGUCUCAGGAGAGACAGGCGAAGGCGAAGG